rnacentral:rRNA from 1 species
CCUACGGGAGGCAGCAGUGAGGAAUCUUCGGCAAUGGGCGGAAGCCUGACGGAGCAACGCCGCGUGAAUGAAGAAGGUCUUCGGAUCGGAAAGUUCUGUUCUUAAGGAAGAAGUCUUGGGGUGUGAAUAAUGACUUAAGGUGACGGUACCUAUGGAGAAAGCUCCGGCUAACUACGUACCAGCAGCAGCGGUAAUAAGUAGGGAGUGAGCGUUGUCCGGGAUUACUGGGCGUAAAGGGCGCGUAGGCGGGAACUUAAGGUAGAUGUGAAAACUCCGGGCUUAACCUGGGGACUGAAUGUAAAACUGGGUUUCUUGAGUGCAGGAGAGGAAAGUGGAAUUCCUAGUGUAGCGGUGAAAUGCGUAGAUAUUAGGAGGAACACCAGUGGCGAAGGCGACUUUCUGGACUGUACCUGACGCUGAGGCGCGAAAGCAUGGGGAGCGAACAGGAUUAGAUACCCGAGUAGUC